UAGUGUUCCUGCAGGGAUGUCUGAAGUACUCUGCAAGGCUAAUUAGGACAGAUCAAUGUACACUUACCUCUCCAGAAGGCUGAAAGGUGUGUAGUGACUAUGUGUCAUUAAAAAUUUACUUGACCAUGGGCAACAGAUGUCCAUGAAAGAAUGACCCUGAUACAGACUGAAAUGUUACCAGAUAAAAUGAUGUCAUGUCUGGGAUUCGCUUCAAAAUAAUUUGAGGUGGAAGUGGAAAGUGGAAACAACAAUUAUGAAACAACCUGGCCCAUGAGAUGAUAGCUGUGGAAGGUAGGUAUGGUUAUACAAAAUUUCAUUACACUUUUCCCUCUACUUUUCUAAUAUAUUCUGAAUUUUCAUAACAAAA
rnacentral:lncRNA from 10 species